AAGCAGUCCUCUUUACAAUCCCACUAACAGCUCCUUCUCCAGAUAUUCGAAUUGACAAAUUUGGCAGGUCAGGAAUAUGAGGCCUGUCAAAUAUGAUUCAAUAUUUUCCCUUAUAAGCUGUGCAUGUAUAUUAGGUCGCCCCUCUGCACUGAUGUUUUAUUGUAUGUAUUAAGGCUGAUGUGUACUUUAGUCAUUGCUGCCAUCCAGGUGUAGUGGGAGUUUGAGCACAGGGCUUGAUUUU